UACGUAGGGGGCCAGCGUUGUCCGAAGUUACUGGGCGUAAAGAGCGCGUAGGCGGGCCCUUAAGUGGGGGGUGAAAGGUUGGGGCUCAACCCCAACACUGCCUUUCAUACUGAGGAUCUUGAGUUCGGGAGAGGUGAGUGGAACUGCGAGUGUAGAGGUGAAAUUCGUAGAUAUUCGCAAGAACACCAGUGGCGAAGGCGGCUCACUGGCCCGAUACUGACGCUGAUGCACGAAAGCGUGGGGAGCAAACAGG
rnacentral:rRNA from 1 species